rnacentral:rRNA from 1 species
CGCCCUUGAAAUACCACCCUUUAAUGGCUGGUGUUCUAACGUGGGCCCGUGAUCCGGGUUGCGGACAGUGUCUGGUGGGUAGUUUGACUGGGGCGGUCUCCUCCUAAAGAGUAACGGAGGAGCACGAAGGUCAGCUAAUCCUGGUCGGACAUCAGGAGGUUAGUGCAAUGGCAUAAGCUGGCUUGACUGCGAGCGUGACGGCGCGAGCAGGUGCGAAAGCAGGUCAUAGUGAUCCGGUGGUUCUGAAUGGAAGGGCCAUCGCUCAACGGAUAAAAGGUACUCCGGGGAUAACAGGCUGAUACCGCCCAAGAGUUCAUAUCGACGGCGGUGUUUGGCACCUCGAUGUCGGCUCAUCACAUCCUGGGGCUGAAGUAGGUCCCAAGGGUAUGGCUGUUCGCCAUUUAAAGUGGUACGCGAGCUGGGUUUAGAACGUCGUGAGACAGUUCGGUCCCUAUCUGCCGUGGGCGCUGGAGAACUGAGGGGGGCUGCUCCUAGUACGAGAGGACCGGAGUGGACGCAUCACUGGUGUUCGGGUUGUCAUGCCAAUGGCACUGCCCGGUAGCUAAAUGCGGAAGAGAUAAGUGCUGAAAGCAUCUAAGCACGAAACUUGCC